AUGAGCGUGCUUGGGGCGGUGAUUGCGGGUGCCGUCGGGAAACAAGUCGUCACCAAGCUCGGUAAAUAUGCUGCAUCGGAGAUCACUCUGCAGUGGAGGUACAGAGAGGACGUGUUGGACCUGGGGGAGAAGAUGAAAGAUCUGGAGGCUGUGUUGCUUGAUGCCGACGACAAGUCGCGUCGAGUAGGAGAAGGUGGAAGACUAUAUCAGCAGUGGCUUACAAAACUUAAGCGCGUUUCAUAUGAUGUCGAGGACAUGAUUGAUGAGUUGGACGCUAAUGAGCUCAUCAAGAAGAGUCAAUCGAAGGUCAACUUAUGGAUUUCCAGAAACAAUCAACUCCUGCAGCGAAAAACCAUGCCCCAUAAGAUGAAGAAGGUGAUGAAGAAAAUAGACGCAAUUAAAGAGGAGGGCAGAAUGGUGCUCAAUCUUGUGCCUCAAGAAGCCAGGGGAGAAGGGAGCAGAAACAGUGAAACUUUUGCAGCCAACUGGAAUGGUUGUGGCAUGAAAACUGGAAUGGUGGGGAGGGAUAUGGAGAAGGAGAAAAUAAUCAGCCUGUUACUGACAAGUGAAGCUAACCAGGAUAUCUCCAUCAUUCCAGUUGUUGGCCUUGGUGGCAUAGGCAAGACAACACUGGUUGAAUCUGUUCUUACUGAAAAGAGGGUCAGUGUCUUUGACGCCUCAAUCUGGAUUAAUGUGUCUGAACAGUUUGAUUUGCACAAAAUUGCGAGUGCAAUCCUGAGAAGAAUGAUGGAUGGCACUAUCAACCAUGACAACUGUGAUUUGCAACAAGUUCUGAAAAAAGAACUUGCUAAAAGAAGAUACUUGAUUGUUCUGGAUGAUCUCUGGGAAGAAGAUGGAAAUAAUCUUGAAAGGUUGAAGGAGAUGUUACAGCAUGGCCGCAAGGGUAGUCGUAUCAUAGUAACUACCCGAAACCUAGGCGUAGUGCAACAAUUGCGCACUGGUUUUCUCGCAAAUCAGAGGAAAAUUUGCCCAGUUCCUGAGUCUGACAUAAUCGAUUUGGGUGUUUUAGAACCUGGUGACUGUUGGGAAUUAAUAAAGCAAAGGACAUUUGGGCCUGAUGAUGACCACAAUGGCUUGGAAGAAAUUGGGAAGCAGAUUGCAGAGUGUGGGGGCUUACCACUCGUGGCAAAUGCUCUUGGGCAAGGAAUGUCGGAGAUAAGGACCGUGGGGGCAUGGAAAGAUAUAAGAGAUACCAAGUUUGAUUUGGGUUUGAGAGAAGUAUAUCAGAAAAAAACAUUAGAGAGACUAAUGCUUAGCUAUUGCUACAUGAAGCUAGAAUUCAAAAUGUGUUUCACAUACUUGGCAGCCUUCCCCAAGGGCUUUGUCAUGGACAAAAAUCGUCUAAUCCAGCAAUGGAAUGCACUUGGAUACAUUUAUCCAGGGUACGAUGGUCAAAGAUGCAUCAACUACCUUUUGGGGAUGUCCUUUCUUCGGAUUCCAGGAACUGCUUCGGUUGGUCCAAGGCCAUUGCACUACAAAUCUCCACCAGAACUCGUGAUGCAUGAUUUGGUUCAUGAUCUUGCAUCAAUAAUUGUUGCUGAUGAUUUUGUUGUGCUGGAUGCUACCAACCGCACCAGCUGGAAAAUAGCUCGUUACAGCCGACAUGCACAGUUAAUCAACUUCAAGAAUGAUCCUAAGGUUUUCAAAUAUAUUUCACGCAAG
rnacentral:rRNA from 1 species